rnacentral:rRNA from 1 species
UACGGGGGGAGCAAGCGUUGUUCGGAUUUACUGGGCGUAAAGGGCGCGUAGGCGGCCACCGCAAGUCGACUGUGAAAUCUCCGGGCUUAACCCGGAAAGGUCAGCCGAUACUGCGGGGCUAGAGUGCAGAAGGGGCAACUGGAAUUCUCGGUGUAGCGGUGAAAUGCGUAGAUAUCGAGAGGAACACCAGUGGCGAAGGCGGCUCACUGGCCCGGUACUGACACUGAGGUGCGAAAGCGUGGGGAGCAAACAGG